CAAUAGUUGUCAGUAACAUCAAACUGACGUCAUCCUCGGGACAAAAUGCAGUAGAGAAUGGGGUAUGACAAGUGCCAUUGUCACUCAUUAUCCUGUGAACACAUGGAAGACAAUGGAAGGUCAACUACCUAAAUAAGUGCAGAUGGUGGAGCUGAACAUGGGAUAUCUUUGUCCAUCCUGGAGAUGCAGGCGUACGAAUAGUUCUACUGGAUAUACAG